rnacentral:rRNA from 1 species
UACGUAGGGGGCAAGCGUUGUCCGGAAUCAUUGGGCGUAAAGAGCGUGUAGGCGGCCCGAUAAGUCCGCCGUGAAAGUCCAGGGCUCAACCCUGGAAUGCCGGUGGAAACUGUCGGGCUGGAGUCCGGAAGAGGCGAGUGGAAUUCCUGGUGUAGCGGUGAAAUGCGCAGAUAUCAGGAGGAACACCAAUGGCGAAGGCAGCUCGCUGGGACGGUACUGACGCUGAGGCGCGAAAGCUAGGGGAGCAAACAGG